rnacentral:lncRNA from 1 species
CCCUAUAAUAAAACCCAAAAAAACUCCCCUGAUUUAAUCAGAACCCAACAUCCAUUCAAAACAGAAACUCCAAUCUAAUUUAAUCAGAAGCCAACAUCCAUUCACAACUUCAAAUCAAAUCAAGGUCAAACCUCACAUAAAAACCAACAUCCAUUCACAACUUCAAAUCAAAUCAAGGUUAAACCUCAUAUAAAACAGUACAAGUGUUUUGUUGGAGUACUGAAAAGCUAAUUCUCUAAAAACCUGUCCCCAAGAAAUUAACUUCCCUUAGGAUACCUUUCAAACCCUAAUCCCUCUAGGGACCCCACAUUCCCUCAAAACCUCGACUGAAAACCUAAUUCCUCUACAGACCCAACAUUCCCUCAAAACUGAAAACUGAUAACCUAUUCCCUCUACAGACACAACAUUCCCUUAAAACCUAGAUGGCAAACCCAACCCUUUCCUCAAACCUAACCUAACGUAACGGUUUGAGUACUCCAAAACCCCUACUUUCAACAAAACCCUAAGCAAACCCAAACCCUUAAUCCUCAGAACUCCCACGACUCAUCUCUCAGAGUGUUUAUUUGUGUAUUUAAGAGAAGGAAAUCAAGGAAGAAAUCAAUUAUUUUUAAUAUUUUAAGUAAAAUUCCAUAUAAAUUAUAGGAUUAAGGAAUCAUUGUACUUGUGCGUAUUUGUGUAGAAGAAAUCGAUUAUUUUUAAUAUUUUAAAUGAAAUUCUGUAUAAAUUACAGGAUUAAGAAAUCAUUGUCCAUAUACGAUGCAC